AGGGUCAUAUAGGCUAGAUUUCAUUCAAAUUGUUAAAAAGACAUGGAGUGCCGCAGAAAUGUAACUUUGAUGGACUCUAAGUAUCUAACAACAUCAACAAGGUGAUUUUCUAUCAUAAUGCCUUAUCUUUAGUCUGGGAUUGGGAACUCGAAAGAAACAAAGAAUUUCGCCGAAGGUGACUGACGUGUUUAAUCAUAUGUCUAAAAGCCAUCGACGCACGAUGCGUGUCACAGCGAGGAACCUUUUGCAGCCGCGGCGAAACGUCUGAGGUGUGUGCGGCAAAGACAGAAUACAUAUAUAUCUAAGAAGAAAGGGGCGUGCUACAGAAAAGGUCUGACCAAUACAGAUCUGCUAUUCAGGCGUGACCCCUGCGUGGCCCCGUGGGACACCUUGCGACUCCCGGAGUAUUGGGGGCCCGGACUGACCCCUGGUUGAAUUUCAGCUGUGCUCUGAAUGAAUCCGGGACGUGGUAACAACUAGACGCCGUAACCUACCCAUGGGGAACAGUGAGAUCAAGAUAGUCGAAUCUUGACUACAUGUAUGUGUAUAAUCGGUGAACUACCAUGUAUCAGUUUCUACCUAAUUAUAUGCAAUAAACUUCAUUGUCAUUACCAUUGUCAUUGUAAUACAAAGACAUGGUACCCAUUCCUCCUUAAAGGUGCUGCUAUGAAAACUCCACAUAACCGAUGCUUCUGUACACGAUAUUCUUUCAGAUGACGUUGUCAAACUCUUAGCUCCCCUGUGUCAAGUUACGCUAGAUGCAUUACACGGCUCGUAUGCCAGGGGGCGCCAAACGCGUACUAUUCUCAUGUGUCUAUAGCUAGGUCUUGUUCGAAAGCAACAAGUCUGUCAAAUAGAAGAGAUAAUGCCAAACUUUGUCACCCCCUUGUCAGGACUGGAUGUUGACUGAAAGGUUCA